rnacentral:rRNA from 1 species
UACGUAGGGGGCAAGCGUUGUCCGGAAUCAUUGGGCGUAAAGCGCGUGUAGGCGGCCCGAUAAGUCCGCUGUGAAAGUCCAAGGGCUCAACCCUGGGAUGCCGGUGGAUACUGUCGGGCUCGAGUCCGGAAGAGGCGAGUGGAAUUCCUGGUGUAGCGGUGAAAUGCGCAGAUAUCAGGAAGAACACCCGUGGCUAAGGCGGCUCUCUAGUACGGUACUGACGCUGAGACGCGAAAGCGUGGGGAGCAAACAGG